GCUCGCGUAACUCAGUGGUAGAGUGCCACCUUGACAUGGUGGUGGUCACUGGUUCAAGUCCAGUCGUGAGCACCA
rnacentral:tRNA from 1 species